ACAUAGUGAACAGACAGUGUGGCGUCUACAAGUCUGGCACUACCAAUUUUGGUUCAAAUAGGAGUGCUGAUUUUCGUACUGAAAUUACACAGGAUUAUCUAAAAUGUGGAAUAAUACAAGUACUAGGUAAGUCUGCACAAACAUUAAACCUAUAGUAGUGAGACUGAUUUUUCUUGCGGCAUUAGUACAUGGUGUCUCAUAG
rnacentral:lncRNA from 1 species